UACGUAGGUGGCAAGCGUUAUCCGGAUUUACUGGGUGUAAAGGGCGUGUAGGCGGGGACGCAAGUCAGAUGUGAAAACCACGGGCUCAACCUGUGGCCUGCAUUUGAAACUGUGUUUCUUGAGUACUGGAGAGGCAGACGGAAUUCCUAGUGUAGCGGUGAAAUGCGUAGAUAUUAGGAGGAACACCAGUGGCGAAGGCGGUCUGCUGGACAGCAACUGACGCUGAGGCGCGAAAGCGUGGGUAGCAAACAGG
rnacentral:rRNA from 1 species